rnacentral:tRNA from 5 species
GGAGGGAUACCAAAGUGGUCAACUGGGGCGGACUGUAAAUCCGCUGGCUUUGCCUUCGUAGGUUCGAAUCCUACUCCCUCCACCA